GGAGGUAUACCCAAGUCUGGCUGAAGGGACCGGUCUUGAAAACCGACAGGCGGGUCAAACCGCGCGGGGGUUCGAAUCCCUCUACCUCCU
rnacentral:tRNA from 1 species